rnacentral:lncRNA from 1 species
UUUUCAUAGCCUGGCUGAGUGAUUCUCAGAAGUGAAAUAGAGCAGCUAUUUAUAGGGAACAUACUAAGAACUAUAGGAAGGUGUAAGAAGAAAUUAGUGGGGCCUUAAUAUCUUUGGCACUUGACAUGAGUGCUAAAUCCUUUUUGAUUCAUAAUAGAGCAGAAGUAUAGAAGUCAACCGUAGUGAAUAAAGAAUAAAAGCAUCUCAUCCCCACACAAUUAAUUUAUCUUAUUUUACCUCUUAAUUCCUUGUACGACUUAUUCUUGCCUGUUUUAUUGUUUUUCUUCUAUUUCCUUAUAUAUAUCUCCAUUAAUAGAGAAAGUUUGAGUUGGAUAGCAGCACGUAAUCUAGAAAAAAGAUCUUGAACAGAAGCAUUAACAGUGUAAUUGAUUGAUUUGAUUUCUACAUUUGAUUUCUACACAUGCAAAAUAAAGAAUCCGCAGAACUUUAACAUGCCGCCAUGCCCAUUCCGCGUCCUGUGACUAUACAUGGAAUCUGCAGCAGUAACAUGGCUGAAGAUCUUUUAGAUCAUAUUCUUGAUUUCCUAAUUGAGCCCCCAUAUUAUAUUGCCUACGCUCCAGUUGGCAUAGGCAUGCGGGGGUGUGGGAUAUACCACAUCAGCGGAGCAUCUUUGUACAAUCCUUAUCUCUUGAAUUAGUUCUUCAGGUUGAAUUAGCAUCAAAAUCUACUUUCCUUAACCACAAGGUUUGCAUUUAUUGUUGUUUGAACCAUAUUAGUCCUUAUUGAGUGUUGAUAACAUCUUACUUUGGCUCACAAAUCCAUACCAAUAAUUACUGGCAUAUAUAUAUUUACUUUUGCCAGCUAUUUAUUGUUGUGUUUGAUUGUUUUGAGCAAAAGUUUUUGGAAUAAGAUGUCUCCUUUCCUUGAUCACCGACUCCAAUCAAACGUAGCUACCACCUGUAUGAAUAUUAUUUGGUUAGUUGAUUCAAUUCUCAAAGAUUGGAACUUAUCAAGAAUAACAAUAAUAAUAUAACAGUAACAAUAGUAUCAAAGAUAUGAUGCUGUAAAUAAUCUCAGUUAACAGUUUUCUGAUGAGAAUGAGUUAUCUUGAAAUAUGUAUCAUUCAAGAUAUAUAUAAACAUCCCUUCGCCAAAAUUGAAUUAUUAUACCGGUCAUUGUUGGCGGGAUAGAAUUUUCAUCAAGAGAUUUGAUAUUUAUUAUUAUUAUAUAGAUUAAAAAGAAAACCUUAUAUAUAUACAAUGUAAUUUUCUUACCCCUUCUGUCCUUCUAGUUUCGCACCCUAUUGUUUGUGGAAAUGACUUUGUUUUGGAUUCCAAAGAAAGAAGAUCAUUUACAUGCAAUUUUCCUUUAUUUGAUCUAUUAACAACUAUCAUCGUCCUUGUUUCAACACGUUGCACAUUUAAAUACGAGGAAUAACAUAUAUUAGAUGUUUCAUGUAUUUCACUCACAAAAUUUCAAACUUUUUAAUUUUUUUUUUUUUUUUUUUUUACUUACUACACUUCAAAAAAAAGCUCAAUUACCCUUACACAUUGAUUUCUUUAAUUUGCACAAACUUUUUUCUCCAAAAUCUUAAUUUGAAAACGUUUUCCAAAAGUUGUGCAUCUGAUUCUUAUUUUAAUGAUUGAUUUUUUUUACAGCCAAAAGCCAAGUUAUGGGAUGCGGCAUAGUGACUGGUUAUAUUCUCCGCAUGUGGCAAAAUGAUAUACCACUACAUUGUGAAGCCUCUAUUCAAGAUAUGUGAAUUUUAGAUAUAAAUUGAAGUCCCCUUUUGUCUAUACUUAUUGAGAUAAUGAAAUAGAAACAAUCAUAGAGGGCGGAGUUAUUCGUACAAGGAAUACGUUAAAUAAGAUUACUAUAUUGGGUGAGGAUGGAAUUCUUUUACACUUUAUUCUCGAGGAUUGAGUUCUUUCCUCUACGAGACAAAACUCCUUUAUCUUCUUUAAUUUGGCUUUGUAAUUGUUGACAUGAGCAUUAUAGGUUUUGAUGAUUGACAAAAAAAUACAUGUAUGGAUCAUGUUCAUGGACACUGUACACAAGUCACGAUCAGAAUCAAGUAAAAGAUAUACACGUACAAGGGAUAAGUAUAAGUGGUUAUUUCUGAUAAUUCCUGAAUGAAAAGAUUGCAUAUUUGAUAAGGAGCAUGACUCCUUACGUGAAGAGAACUCUAUCCAAGAUAAGGAAAGAGUUAAAAGUUGAAGUUAACUAAAACUCUUCCACCAAGGAAGAAUAAAACAUCCGACUUCUAGUUAUCCUCUAUUCUACUCUCUAUAAAUAUAAGUGUUAUUCUCUUUUACAAGGAUCACACACAUACUGAAGUUAAGCAAAAAUUAAGAGCAAAAUAGCAAGACAUUUUGUGUGCAAUUCAUGUGAGAUUCAAGGGUGCGAACCUGAAGCUACAUGAACCAGACUGAAAAACCAGUUCCAUGUGUCUGUCUUUAAUUCUAGUUCAAAUGUAGUACAAGAUUUUGAGUGGUACCUUUUAGCUUUCUUUAAAAGCAUUUGUACUAGGUACUUGCAUUGUCUUAAUCAAGUUAGAGUUAACUUGAAGUAAUCGCAAUAGCUCGUGGGGUGUAGCUACGAGGGUUAGACUCAUGCUCGUGGAGCAAACAGUGACUGCACUCGAUCUUGUGUGUGUGUGUUAUAUUCUUUUUGAUGACUGGCAGACCCAUUAAUGUGGGUGAGAUCAUGCUCGGUGAGAUGGCCCGCACGCGAUUUGGGCGGCAGAUUAGGAGGUUCUUCUUCGGCAACUCGCUCACGCAAUAUAUGCUUUCCCGAGGGGUGCCGGAGUACCCAGGGUAUGUUAAGGUGGUGGAGGUGCCUACAGGACUAUUGGACAUCACAUACUUGUUGGAGAUGUCGAUUACGCUCACUCAGGCAGCACGGAACGAACGAGAUGAUAACUUCAACAGUUACCUCUAUAACUCUUUAAAUUUACUCAUGAGAAAGGCUGGUAUUUCAGACGAGGAGCGUAUGCAUUUACGCAAUGACUUGUCGAGCUCGUCCAAGGAGAUGUUGGGGAUUACACCUGGCAGCCCAGUUCACUCGUCGGAGGACGCAAACACUAUCAAGAGCUCAAACACAGAGGAAGAUGUGGAUGAUGAUGUUACGAGGGCCUUGGCUUUGGUGCCUCUAGGACCUGAUGAUGAUGUGCCCGGCGCUGCGGAUGGAGUGCAUGCUGAGGAGGAGGACUCCGACUAACAGGGAGUUUUCUUUUCACCCUACUCUAUUUUACAUUUUUAUAUGUAUCAGGGACUAUGCAUAAUAUAAGUGUGGGGUGGGAGGAAUACUACUUGUGAUGUACUUGUAUAAAUUAUAUCACUUUGUUUCUUUUACUAGUUUUACUUAGUCUAGUUUUAGUCUAGUUUGUUUUUACAAAACAAUUUAGAAAAAACUCGAACUUUUCCCGACGAUAGAUCUUUUGGACAAUUUUCUUGAGGGAUAGAGUCUGAUUAAAAACACCAAAAAAGAUUUUUUUUAAGGAUAGUUAGGUAGUAUACCUUGUUUUUUCUUUUAGCGUCGGUUCUUUUUCAAGGGUGUAGCUUGAACCGGGUACUUAAUUUUUUUUUUUGAGUAGGUUAGGAAGAAACUGAGUUGCUUUGAGCUACUUAGUGACAUGUUUAGUACUGGUACAUUAGGUUAUGACAUACAUUCUAUCUUUCCGUAUAUUUGGUUUGAAUUGUGACGCCUAAGUAAAGUAAAUAGCCUAUUUUGUGAUGCUUUUCCUCAGUUGUUUGACUUGUAUGCCACAUAGUGCAUUAUUGCUUGAAUUUUCUCAAUUAUGUGUGCUUGCGUGACUUGAGAGUUAAACAGAACCUUCUUGAUUGAGUCAUGUGCAAUGUGUGUGUGAGGAGUUGUGAUCUUCCGUGCUAUCUUGUGUAAUCUAGAACUUACCCCGUGUAUUAAUCGAAGCGAAAUUGUUAAGUUAUGAUAAUUUAGGAGAUGGCGUAGGCGUUUCUUGCUUGAUCAUAGAUGUGCUUGUCACAUAAAAAUAAAAAUUUUCGUUGCUAGCCCCCUUGAGCCUAUAGACCUUUCUUUUGGCACCCAUAUUAUAAGCCAUACCCCUAUUUUGUUCUUAAUUUAAGAUUGUUGAACCUUUACCUCUUAAGGCAUUUAGUCUCUAAAAGAAGUAACGUGAGAGAUUUGGGGAGUAGCUUUCGAAUGGAACCAUGGAAGGGAUUUUUGGUGCACUAAAGUUGACAUCAAAAGUCACUAGCCGAUGAACUUUAAUGUAUGGAGUGUGUGAAGAAAAAAAAAAGAGAGAAAGAAAAAAAAAAUUGCAAGAAAAGAGAAAACAAAUGAUAGUCAAAGUAUGUAGAAAAAAGUAUACAUCUUCAAAUCUUAUUAAUUUGUGCUAGUGGGAGUAUAGAAGUGCUUAAUGAAAGUAAGGGCUAUAUUGUGUAUGGGUUGUGGCAAGUGAAUUAGUUGAGAAGAAUAUGGGCUCGAAUUGUGAGUGUAGUGUAUUAAAGUGCUUCGGAGGGUUAGUCACUAUUUCUAAAUAUAUCAUACUUGUCCCUUAGCCUACGUUACAACUUUAAAGUCCUAAUUGAUCCUAGAUUUAGCUAGCUUAGAUUAGUAGAGAUGUACAUUACGGGCAAGCUUAUGGUACGACCACGGGAUGUAUAUGAAUUCUUUGUGAGAGUGAGCGAAUUUUGUUCAAUUGUGUGAUGUCCUUAAUUUAUAUUCAAAAGCAUGUUUGAAUGUGUGGAUUAAUCUAUAUUCAUUCUUUUAAUGUCGGUAAGGGCACAUGAUCUCAUGAAUGAUUGGUAAUGUUGUAAACUUUCUUGUUGGGCGAGUACAAGAGUUGAGGGUGCUUAGUGGUAACAAGUCAAUUUUUGAGGUUGGGUGGUUACAAAUAGGUUGUUGGAAUUGAUUGAAUUGAAAUGUUAUACUUGGGCAUGAUUAAAACGGGAAGAAUGCGAUAUUUUGUAUGUUCAGGCUUGAUUGCCGGUACUGAUCAUAGUCAAGGGUAGAGUGUAUGGUUAAAAGUUGAAGUGCUCCUCUGUAGUUGAGAUUUGUACGUAAUUGGGGGUAUAUUUGAUAGUCUCAUUGCUCGAGGACGAGCAAGAGUCUAAGUAUGGGGUGUUGAUGUUUAGCUUAAAGUAUAUAUAAUUAUAUGUAUAUCGCCUCAUGUUUUACUAUUGUUUCGUGGAUUUAUGAUGUAAAAUAUGUUAAUUUAUAUUAAUUCGAGAUGUUUUUAUGUGCAGGAAUGAUCCGGGAGCAAUUAGGGGCAAAAGAUGCGAAAUUAGAGCCAAAACGGACGAAAAAAAGGAAAGGGGCAUUUCCAGCGCCACAGGUAGCUCCCUACGCUACAUGUGGCACCCCAGACAAAACGUGAAAUUUACUAGUGCCAGGGACGACGCCUAGCUCUGGGAUAGACACUGGUGACGGGAUUUCUAUCCAACUUUGCCCGGGACAAUGUUAUUUCGUCCCUAAACCUACCCAAUACCUAUAAAAGUAAGACUAAGCUUAUUUUUAAGGGAUAGACGCCACUUUGAAGGGAGAAUGCACACGAGAAACAUUCGGGAGCAAAGAGAUCUCAGUUUUCUUCAUCUUUUCUUAGUAUUUUUAAUUAUCCAACACUUAUGAAAUUGUUUGCUAGUAUCAUGAGUGGUUAAAAUCUAUAGUUCUGGGGUUAUAAUUUAGCCAUGAAUAUUGUUGUUUAACGUUGGCUUAACCUUGAUUUCAAUUCACUAAUAUAUAGUUAUUUCUUCUAUUCUGUGAUUAAUUGCUUAAUUGUCUGGCCAUCAGUUAGAUUCUAUUUACUAUCUAUGCUAUGCUUGGGAAAGCCAUGUUUAGAUUAGAGAAGAAUUGAAGAGAGCAUGAUCUUAACUCUUAAGGGGGACGGAUUUGUAGUUAGGAUAGGAAUAUACCUAGUCACCGUGCUUAUUUAAUUAUCGUAAUCUUAAUGCAUUCUUAAUAGAUUGAUUCUAUAGGAAUAUAGACGUUAAUCUAUUUUGAAUAGGCGAGUAGUACUUCGGGAGAAGGCUAUGAGAGCAAUUAUCGAUUAAUUAGCAACCAUGAGUGAAUUGUAUGAAAGGGAGAGUUAACUAGAACACAAUAGGAUUGGUGAAUCGAUCACAAUCCUGGAAUAUUUGUCUCUAUUGAAUACAUAACAAUCAUUUUACUGGUUGAUAAUUUAGUUACUACUUAGAAUUAUAGUUUAGUAUAAUCACAUUCUUGAACUCGAAUUUGGCUUGACUGAAUAACAAUUUUGGUAAAUUUAGUGGGUAGUUGAUACAAGUCUCUGUGGGUUCGACACUCGACAUAUCAUUUUAUUACUUGUACGACCACGUAUACUUGCGUGUGCGUUUGGGAGUGACACUUAUUGACAAUCAAACAGGUUAAAUUCUAAAUCCUAUAAAUAACACAUUUCAAAAGUUGCAUACUUGUAAACAUCACCAACCAUAUCACAACUCCAGAAAAAUAGUUUUCAAACACAUAAAGCACAUCUACAACAAAACCAAUUUGAAUUUGGAAAGAAAAAAAUUUAAUAUUCAAUACUAUGAAGAAAACUAAAAAUCUGUUUAUACUUUAGUUGUGCUCUUUGAACAAUCCUAAAAUAUUACCUUGAGAUUGAUUCAAACAUAACGCAGAGCAGAAAGAGAAAAAACAGCCAGUGACAAUUGUGUCUUCUCUGAAGGUCCCCAAGAGUUCUAAAAUACAUAUGCAAAAAGAAAUAUUUCAAUUAAGACCCAAAUCACAGAAAUUAACCUACAAAAUACACAAAAAUUCUGAAUUUUACAACCUAUAAUACCUAAUACAGAAGGAGAAAGAGGACUUACAUCUCGAUUUCAAUAAAAAGUGUUAUAUCCUUCUUCAAAAUAUACCGAUUAUACCAAAUUUCUAUUACUUUCUGCUGAGAAUCGCAAAACAUCAAGAUGAAAGAAAGAGAAAAAAUCAGGAAAGGGAAAACACAAAUUAACAGAGAAAAAAAAUUUAAAACCCACAUGCAAGAAGAAAGAAAGACAGAAAAGCAAAAUCAAAGAAUGGGGAAGAGGAAUUACCAUAGAUCUGAAGUUUGAUUGUAGAAAACUAUUUCACAUGUUCUCCUUUACAAAUCUCUUUCAUUUGUAUCUGAAACAUGCGUGGUUUUUUUUUUUAAUUUGAAGCUGAAAAUGAGCGAGAGGGAGAGAGACGGGUAGCUGAAAAUGAGAAAGGGGUUAAGGAAAAAAGGAGAGGGAAAAGAUUAAAAAAUGAAGGAAAAUUU